GUCAGAAUACGUGCUACGAAUAUUUUGGAAAUAUUUAGAGUGUCCGUGGGCUUUUUUUAGAGAGUGGUUUCCAAUAGACACGAUGUUUUAAUUGAUCAGAUAAUCAGCUAAUAAUAGAAGAAAGCUGUGGACGAUCUUUAAGUGCUAAUCAGUGUCAAUGUCACUGGGCAAUCAAUAAUUCCAAGGUUAUUCUAUACUUCCUGACUCCACUUUCCAGCGAUAUCGAACGAUACGAAAAUUCUUUGGGACGUUCAUCGACGAACCUCUCUAACACAGAGGGACACGGAGAUGAAGAAAACGUAGCGAUUCGGAGAAAUCGUUGGUUCGUUUCGUAUCUGCCGGCGGAGCGUAUUUUCUCGCGAGGAAGCGCACCACGAGGCCCAGACUCGCACGAUGUGUACGUGCCUUAAUCUUGCCGCGAGAUGCACAUCCGCCGGUACUCCUCUGCUCAGAUUGAAACACGGAAGCCCUAAGGCCAUGGUUAACGGUGAAUUGGUACAUUCUCGCGCUCCCACCGAUACAUGGACGAGCUGCACGAGCACAUAUGUGCGUACUGUGUACAGUAUAUGAACAUUUCUGGUCAUGAGGAUUAGGAUAACUAGCGAGUUCGUAUGUAUGAAACGUAUAAGCGUACAUAAUGCACAGCUACAUAUAUAUAUAUAUGAACAUUUCUGAUUAGAAGGAUCAGGAUAUCUACUGAAUUUGUAUACAUAAAACAUAUGUACGUACACAGUGCGCAAGUUGGUGUAUCUGAACAUUUCCGAUCAUUAGGAUUAAGACAUCUACUGGUUUUGUAUGCAUGAAACGUGAUAAUCUAGAUCGUGAGAUAAAUGAUCAAUAGGUUGGAAUUUUGUAUUUGUGUAAGAGAAUACUUGGAGAUACGAGGUAAAGAUUUGGAGGAAUUGUUCGCAAGAGUUAUGGAAAAAUUUUGUCUAUGUAUAUUAAGUUAACGUUAAAAUAAUCGAUUCAUAGUAUAUAUCGAAACACGUACGUUGCACUAUACGUAAAGAAAAUGUAUACGUGGGUAAAUGUAAUUAUAUUUCCAUUUCAGUAACAGUCAACAUUAAUUUUGUCACCAGUAUUUGCAUGUUUUUAGCAGUUAUACAAUUAAAUGCAACCCGUCAUUUUAACGAGCUUGGUAGUGAAUUAAUGGAAAGUUACGUACGUUGGUUUUCAAAAUUCUCUGAUAUCAAAAGAAUUGUAGCGAGCUGUCUAGGGAUAGAAAAAUUUCUACGAAAUCUGGAUCCCAUUUGUAGAAUCGCUUAUAGAAUAACGAUAGAAUGAAAUAAGGACAACGACACUGCUCAAAAUAAUUAGAGAGUUGUCUUCACCUCGGUAUUUGACCUCGCUACUUGUAUCUAUACAGAUGUCUGUCUUCCUUUUUAAUGAUUGCCUUAAAGACAAUCCUCGUUGCAUAAUUAUACAAAUAACGUGUCAAUUUAUCGAGUCUAUAAAACUUCCUCGCUUGUGUUUGCUUCGUUGGUUCGAUAGAAACAUUCAUAAUAACGAAUCUUUAAUUGGUUUGAAUAGACAAAAUCAAUUGAAGCAGUGAGAGAAGCAGUGAAUCGAAAAAGGAGAAGAAAAAUGUUUGAUAUAAUUAUAUGCAAUUAACGAGAUCGUUAAUUAUAAUACGAAUAUACGAGUUCUUUAUAAUCCUCAGCUUCACGAUCAGAGAAGAAUUCUAAACACGUGUUUUUGAUAAUCUUCUAAUGAUUUGAUGAAUUAACUUCAAUUUCAACUUAUGAACAGAGAUUUAUAGGAGCAUGCAGACGCUUCCAAUACGACGAAGCCAAUUUCCUGGCUGGAAACGAAUACACGUUCGUUGCUCCACUCGCCUCUUGCUUUUUUGCUGUUUUCAUCGUGCUACAAUUUCGCGAAUCACAGGAAAAUGUAUGGCGAAAUUGAAAGUUGCGACAUAAAUUAAAUAUAAACAGAAAAUUGCGACAGGACAAAUUUUAUGCGAGAACAAACGUGCAUUUAACGUGAAAACGUGUUUUCGUUCUUAUUAACAUCCGUCGAUGUUUCUAAUGCAAUGAAAUACGAAGGAAUAUCGAUUUUGCGAAAUCUCUGUUGCAUCAUAAUUACGACGAAAAUCAACCUCGAGCUUGAAUCCGUACAUCGUUAUUGUAAUAAUUUAAUCGUUGCUCGCAAUAAUACCGAUAAUAAAUACGCAACGAAAAUUAAUUAAUCGAAUAGUCUAAAGCGCUUUGAAUUUGCAUGUAAUACCAAAUUUCCAAUUUGCAGCCCUGGUUAAACGAAUUUCAUGGAGGUCAAAUGGUCCUCUGCGUCCUGUCCGAUUAAAUUUAAGCCUUUCUACUAGCCAGGCGCGUUCGCCUCUUUUAAGUCUGAUUUAUUAUGCAUCGUUCCACUGACUCACUCGCCUCUAUCGAAAUUCUUCGAAGGAUCAAUCGAUAUGCCUAGCCUAAAAUCAACACGUUAACACUGCAUUAACCGUUCAGUGCACGUUUUACGUAUAUCUUAUACACGUUCGAAUAUGUCUUCGACUUAAUUAUAUUUUUAUAUUUAAUAGUAUUUGUUUGUGAAUUCUAUUCGAUUCAACGUACACGCGCAAAAUUUCACCAAUUUUAUUGGAGAGAAUUUUCAGCAAUUUCCGCGAUAUCGAUGUGUGAUUUCGUCGAAAAAGAAGCUGGAAAAUCUUCAUAGAAAAUAGAGAAGAGAAUUUCAUCGAACGAAACAGGUCACUUCGAAUCUUUCGACAUUCCAGAUUUUGUAGAUUUUCUGGGAAUUUUUAUCAAUUUGGUUAGCACAGAUACGAAACGUAAUAGAAGUACAAAGGCCAAGUUAAAAAGAUUUGUUCCAUGUUUAUGAAAUUGCUCAGGAAACUGUGUGCCUUUAGGAAAUUCAAUGAACUGUAGAAAGAACUGGAAUUUUAGGAAAUUUAAAUAUACAAAAGUUUUCAAAAUAUACGAAAUACAGCGUUCGUUAAUAAUAUUCAGAGAAAAUAAAUCUCUAUUAACGUAUGAUUUAAUUUAUAUGAUAUAAUAAAUAAACAGUGGAAUUAAUUUCAACGAACAUUUCUUCGAAAUAAUUUUUCACUUACGUAAACGGGAAAGAAAGAGAGAAAGAGAAUUAUCGUCUGCUUGAAUAUUUACAGCUCAAAGACAUAUUAUACAUAUUUUCGUUUUUAUCUCAUGCAAUUUGGUAAGCAUAAUGUAAAAUUAUAAGCCAAUGUUGAAUGAGUUAACUCGUAAACAACCCGCAAUAAGCCAAUGUUUAAUAAAUCAACUCGCAAUGGUAAUGCGUCCAUUUGGAAAUUAACUGGUUCGUUACCGGAAUAAAAUACCUAUUAUUGUUUCCUAAUGCGUCUGAUUCGAUUGCGGCCACGAUUCGAGCUUACCGAAAAUGGUGAUGCGAGAUAUUAGCGUUCAAAAAUUCCGUACGUUCAUUUGCCUGUAUACGUGAGCAAAUAUUAUUAUCGUACACGAAUCUUGAAAUAGAUGAAAGACUAUAGAUCCUGGUUCGAUCUUCUAUAACUAGAAUUUCGUUUAUUUUAUCUAUCGUUCUAUCUGUUUAAUUUCGUUUGUAGUUGGUCUACUUUCGCUCUCAAUGUCUCAAAUAUAAGUAACUUUCAAAUAUAUACCUUGCUUGUAAGACUCGUCAGAUUUUAAAUUUAAUCUAUUCUUAAGUUCUACGUUAUAAAACAAGAAUAAUGAACGUUUCUCUAUUUAUAUGCGCACCACUGUAAUUAUAUACCUAACGCCGAAUCCAUCAUCAUCGAAUAUCCGAUAAUAAAAACAAACGUUAUCCCGUAUAUAUUCAUUUAUUCAAUCUGCAACGGAAGGUUUAUUACUUGGCAGCUACGUUUCGACAAUUUGCAAACUGAUACACAAUGAAACGUAUCGAUUCCAAUAACGAUCCGAUAUCAAAUGCAAAAUAGCAUUAUGGAUUGUUGAGAACACAACUGUCCGCUUUCUAUCCGAUAUUCGGUAUAUUGGCCGACGGAUAUGUAUCGAUGUCGGUGCAACGCAUCGUUACGAGCCGGUUUCAUUAAUUAAUAUCAUCGUUAAUAGACCAAUAAAUCGAUACGUUCGCUGGUAAAACGAACAGACAGCUCGAGCACGCCUACGAGUCUCUUCCAUUAUUUCGUUGCUUCGUUACUCUGAUGCACUGUCGGAGUGGCAAGCUUAGAGGACCCUUCAACCGAUGUCACUUAUCGUUUCUGUUGUUUUUCUCGUUUCCCUGCCCUCUCUCUCAUUUUUCUAUUGUUCUAUUGCGGAUAUGUGUGUGUAUAUAUAUUUUUUUUUAUUUGAUUUGAUUUUAAGUGUGUUUGUAUUGUUUCGAUAUCAGUAGAGAGAAAUACAUAACUGUAGAGUAAAUAGAUGGAGAACGAUAUUUUUAUUAAAUUAGUUCUCAAAACACACUUGAAAAAUGAUACAUCGUUCUGAGAUUUUUUUAUGAAAUCGCCGAAGUAAUUGAUUAGAGUCCGAGAAUUGUUACGUGGCUCGUAAAACUGUUCCACGCGGUAUUAAUUCUUCCAUGCUCGAGUACUUUAACGAUUUAUUAACUAAUUAGACGAAUCUACAAAAAUAACGUUUUACCUCUGUAACAUGUUCGAUUCUAAUUAAAUUCUCGUACAUUAAUACUUGAAUGAAUUCUGAAACAGCUUCGAGAUCGCGCACUCCAAUCGCUCCUGCUGGUUCAGUUGAAAUAAAUAAAUAAAACUAAGCGACGUUUGGUACAGUACACGACUACUGUGCCAAUGCGAGAGUGCGAAUAAAAGAUUGCACGUGUCUCGCUAUUUCGAACGUUACGAAUGAUAAUACCAGUUUUCUAUUUUUGCGAUAGUUUGCAUUUGCACGAUAUAGCAUAGACUUUGGUAUUUUUCUUCUUCUUUUCCAUUUUAUUCCAUCGAAUAUGAAUAUUUUUGAACGUCGUUGAAUAUAUUAAACUUUCCACGGUGUAAUAUGAAAAGAAAGACACUAAAAUAUAGCGCAUCGUAAAUUUCACAUCUUAUGUAUCGUCGGUAUUUAUAAUACGUGUAUUUAUUAUUUAUAAAGCAAGAAAUACGAAGGAUAUUACAAUUUUUGCUUUUGUAAAUACAUACAGAAAAUUCCAAUUAUGAAGAAUUAAAUAUACGUUAUUCACCAAUUAAAGCUACAAAUUGCUGUACUAAUUAGAAUAAAUUUUCGAAUUAUACAGCUAA